UUAGCUUUAGCAAAAGAAUCUGCAUUAUCACUAAAGCAGUUAUCUUCACACGGAAACUUUGAAUACUAAUCCUCAAAUAUAAUAGGCAGGCUUUUUGGAGGUUGAAAAAAUGUAAACCACUCUUAGUAGCAUAUUUCAUAAUCCAAGCCAACUCCAAUGUCUGUAAUUUGUAACAGAUAUUUUACAUAAUCAUGUCAGUCAUUGUGUCAAUCAGCUGCUUGAAAGUCCCCAAAAUCAUCAUCUUGGAUAUCCUGUGUGCUCUCAUUCAUGGAAGAAAUUUGCUCUUUUGGGUCUUCCAUUCUGGGGUUAGGAAACUCGUCUUUAGAAGUUCCAUCAAGUGACAUUUUUGGUGGCAGGUUUGAUGGAGAAUUUUGUACAGACGCAGCAGGUGAAAGUGGUCCUGGGGGUGGUGGGGGUGGUCUGAUACUGAGGAUGGGCUCUUUUCGGUUACCCUUCUCCUCUAUCGACAGAUUAUUUAGACCCUGCUCAAAAAUCUUUGACUUCGCACCACAGCCACCUUUAUUUUUAAUUUGAAGGACAAGGGUCUCCCCUUCCUUUAAACUGUAAUCAACUGAGGAAGUUUUCUGAAAAUGUUGUUCCAUUUCUUCUGCAGUUUUCUUUUUGUUCAGAUAUUUCACAUGAUCGUGCAGGGCCGCCUGAAAGUCAUAGGCUUCUGUUCUUUCUCGAAAUCCUAUGCCAAUAAAUGCAUGCCGAAGGCGGCCACCAAUAUUUUCUUCUAUUCGCAGCACAAAAUAUCUGCUGCUGUCAAUUACAGGUUCCACUGGAUGUGGUUCCCCAUUUCUUAAAAAUGCCCUGGCAUACAAUUCACCUGUGGUUUUGUCUUCAAGUCUGAUAAUGCACUCUUCGCCUUUGCUAAUGACUUUCAGUGUCCCCUCCCAUGCCCAUUUGUUGACAUUCCAUUCAUCAGCCCUGUAAGAAGCAGCACUUUUCCUUGGAGGUAUCAAGUAAACGUAGCAUUCAGAGACUUGAAAGAGAACAAGCUCAAUCGCUUCAGCUUCUUCUGCCACUUGAUCAUUUGGCGCCUGCUCUUCUUUCUCCAUAACCUAAAGAUACACAAAAGAGUUCGAAAAACCAAUUGGGAUCAGAGAGAUAUGAAAGGAACUGGCAAUUCAACGAGGACUGGUGGGAAUUU
rnacentral:misc_RNA from 1 species